AGCGAACGCUGGCGGCGUGCCUAACACAUGCAAGUCGAACGUGAAAGGGAGCAAUCCCAAGUAAAGUGGCGUACGGGUGAGUAACACGUAGGUAAUCUACCCCAGAAUCUGGAAUAACCGGCCGAAAGGCUGGCUAAUACUGGAUAGAGCGACGGAAUCCGUAAUUGGGUUUUUCGGGAAAGGGAGCCUGUAAAAAGGCCUUCGUUCUGGGAUGAGCCUGCGUCCCAUCAGCUAGUUGGUGAGGUAAAAGCUUACCAAGGCAAUGACGGGUAGCUGGUCUGAGAGGACGAUCAGCCACACUGGAACUGAAACACGGUCCAGACUCCUACGGGAGGCAGCAGUGGGGAAUCUUGCGCAAUGGACGAAAGUCUGACGCAGCAACGCCGCGUGAGUGAAGAAGGCCGUCGGGUUGGAAAGCUCUGUCGAGUGGGACGAAAAUGCUUGGAGUUCACAGCUCCAGGAACUGACGGUACCACUAAAGGAAGCACCGGCUAACUCCGUG
rnacentral:rRNA from 1 species